GACAGAGGGUGCAAACGUUGUUCGGAAUUUAUCUGGGCGUAAAGGCGUUGUGGUAGGACGGGCUUGGCAAGUUGGAUGUGAAAGCCCACGGCUCAACCGUGGAAGCGCACCCAAAACUGCUUCGCUCGAGUCUCGGAGAGGAAGGUGGAAGUGCUUGGUGUAGAGGUGAAAUUCGAUAGAUAUCAAGCAGAACGACCUGC
rnacentral:rRNA from 1 species